rnacentral:rRNA from 1 species
CCUACGGGCGGCAGCAGUGGGGAAUAUUGCGCAAUGGGCGAAAGCCUGACGCAGCGACGCCGCGUGAGGGAUGAAGGUCUUCGGAUCGUAAAACUCUGUUAGCAGGGAAGAACGGUCACUGGGCUAAUCAGCCGUGAAUUGACGGUACCUGCAAAGGAAGCACCGGCUAACUCCGUGCCAGCAGCCGCGGUAAUACGGAGGGUGCGAGCGUUAUUCGGAAUUAUUGGGCGUAAAGCGCUCGUAGGCGGUAUGUCAAGUCACGGGUGAAAUCCCCGCGCUUAACGUGGGAACUGCCUUUGAAACUGGGAGACUGGAGUGAGUGAGAGGAGAGUGGAAUUCCAGGUGUAGCAGUGAAAUCCGUAGAUAUCUGGAGGAACAUCAGUGGCGAAGGCGACUAUCUGGCACAUAACUGACGCUGAGGUGCGAAAGCGUGGGUAGCAAACAGGAUUAGAUACCCCUGUAGUC